rnacentral:rRNA from 1 species
CUACGUGCCAGCAGCCGCGGUAAUACGGAAGGUCCGAGCGUUAUCCGGAUUUAUUGGGUUUAAAGGGAGCGUAGGCUGGAGAUUAAGUGUGUUGUGAAAUGUAGACGCUCAACGUCUGACUUGCAGCGCAUACUGGUUUCCUUGAGUACGCACAACGUUGGCGGAAUUCGUCGUGUAGCGGUGAAAUGCUUAGAUAUGACGAAGAACUCCGAUUGCGAAGGCAGCUGACGGGAGCGCAACUGACGCUGAAGCUCGAAGGUGCGGGUAUCGAACAGGAUUAGAUACCCUGGUAGUCCGCACAGUAAACGAUGGAUGCCCGCUGUUGGUACCUGGUAUCAGCGGCUAAGCGAAAGCAUUAAGCAUCCCACCUGGGGAGUACGCCGGCAACGGUGAAACUCAAAGGAAUUGACGGGGGCCCGCACAAGCGGAGGAACAUGUGGUUUAAUUCGAUGAUACGCGAGGAACCUUACCCGGGCUUGAAUUGCAGAGGAAGGAUUUAGAGAUA